GACGAACGCUGGCGGCGUGCUUAACACAUGCAAGUCGAACGGAAAGGCCCUGCUUUUGUGGGGUGCUCGAGUGGCGAACGGGUGAGUAACACGUGAGUAACCUGCCCUUGACUUUGGGAUAACUUCAGGAAACUGGGGCUAAUACCGGAUAGGAGCUCCUGCUGCAUGGUGGGGGUUGGAAAGUUUCGGCGGUUGGGGAUGGACUCGCGGCUUAUCAGCUUGUUGGUGGGGUAGUGGCUUACCAAGGCUUUGACGGGUAGCCGGCCUGAGAGGGUGACCGGCCACAUUGGGACUGAGAUACGGCCCAGACUCCUACGGGAGGCAGAAGUGGGGAAGAUUGCACAAUGGGCGGAAGCCUGAUGCAGCAACGCCGCGUGCGGGAUGACGGCCUUCGGGUUGUAAACCGCUUUCGCCUGUGACGAAGCGUGAGUGACGGUAAUGGGUAAAGAAGCACCGGCUAACUACGUGC
rnacentral:rRNA from 1 species